rnacentral:tRNA from 1 species
GGGUUGAUUUCCGAGUGGUUAAAGGUGACGUAU